GAUGAAGAACGCAGCGAAAUGCGAUAAGUAAUGUGAAUUGCAGAAUUCAGUGAAUCAUCGAAUCUUUGAACGCACAUUGCGCCCCCUGGUAUUCCGGGGGGCAUGCCUGUCCGAGCGUCAUUACAACCCUCAAGCUCAGCUUGGUGUUGGGCCCCGCCGCCCCGGCGGGCCCUAAAGUCAGUGGCGGUGCCGUCCGGCUCCGAGCGUAGUAAUUCUUCUCGCUCUGGAGGCCCGGUCGUGUGCUCGCCAGCAACCCCCAAUGUUUUUCAGGUUGACCUCGGAUCAGGUAGGGAUACCCGCUGAACUUAAGCAUAUCAAUAAGCGGAGGA
rnacentral:misc_RNA from 1 species